UUCCGGUUGAUCCUGCCGGAGGUCACUGCUAUUGGGAUUCGAUUAAGCCAUGCGAGUCGAGAGGGUUCGGCCCUCGGCUGACUGCUCAGUAACACGUGGAUAAUCUGCCCUUGGGUGGAGAAUAAUCUCGGGAAACUGAGAAUAAUACUCCAUAGAUCUAGGAGGCUGGAAUGCAUCUAGGUUGAAAGCUUCGGCGCCUAAGGAUGAGUCUGCGGGCUAUUAGAUUGUAGUCAGGGUAAUGACCUGACUAGUCUACGAUGGCUACGGGUUGUGAGAGCAAUCGCCCGGAGAUGAUAUCUGAGACACGAUAUCAGGUCCUACGGGAUGCAGCAGGCGCGAAAACUUCACACUGUGCGAAAGCACGAUGAGGGAAUCCCAAGUGCCAGCUCGUAAGAGUUGGCUGUUUUUUUGUCUAAAAAACAGAGAGAGUAAGAGCUGGGUAAGACGGGUGCCAGCCGCCGCGGUAAUACCUGCAGCUCGAGUGGUGACCGCUAUUAUUAGGCCUAAAACGUUCGCAGCCGGUUUCGUAAAUGCUUGGGUAAAUCGUUUGGCUUAACCAAACGAAUUCCGGGUAGACUACGAGACUUGAGAUCGGGAGAGGCUAGAGGUACUCCUGGGGUAGAGGUGAAAUUCUGUAAUCCUGGGGGGACCACCAGUGGCGAAGGCGUCUAGCUAGAACGAGUCUGACGGUGAGGAACGAAGCCCUGGGGCGCAAACGGGAUUAGAUACCCCGGUAGUCCAGGGUGUAAACGCUGCUCGCUUGAUGUUAGAUAGGCUCCGAGCCUAACUAGUGUCGGAAAGAAGUUGUUAAGCGAGCUGCCUGGGGAGUACGGUCGCAAGGCUGAAACUUAAAGGAAUUGGCGGGGGAGCACAGCAACGGGAGGAGCGUGCGGUUUAAUUGGAAUCAACGCCGGA
rnacentral:rRNA from 1 species